CGAACCCACCGUGCGAACGGUUCUUACUAGUGUGAGUACCGAGGUAACACAAUUUGACGUCUGUCAUAUACGAGGAGGUCCAGCAUGGCCUUAUGUCAUGUGGAGGAAAACCGUGGUAAAGGAUAGUAAGAUUGAACUGUGGAUUACGAUUACAAAGUUUAUUUAAACAGUUAAACUGUUAGUUAAUUAGAGUAGUGUCAGUAUAGCUAGUGCGUUGUGGAACACUGCUCUACCAGAAGGUGAAAUUUGUUAUAUUGGUUACCUAUAGUGUCUAAUAUUAUCUAUUUAGGAGACGGCAAAAUACUGGUAGCCGAUUGCUACGAUUGUGGGUAUUAACCAGAACUACUAGCUGCUAUUCAGACUUAAAACUGUGAGUAGGUUUAGCAAUAUUGAAGUUAAUUUAGAAGCAUGAAUUAAUUUGUCUUGUAGCAGUGGACUAGGUUGGAUUACAUCGACUCUGCGUUAAGAAAGAUUAGAAGUGUGAAGGCAGACAUAAACGUAAGACAGAUUCUCCUAAUGUAAAAUAUUUAUCUAAUUCAUUCUUGCAUUAAAUUUCAGCUUUAAAGCUGCGCUGUUUAUAAGCUGCUAAAAAGGCGUUUGCACUGGUCUGGUCGAUUCCCCAACAAACUUUAAAGGUUUAUAGACCCGCUGAGCCUAAGAAUGGAUUCCAACAACGAUCCGAAAGGGAAUCAUAAUUGCGGUAAGUGCAAUCGUUCCGAUUCCGUAAACAACAUGGUGGGCUGCGAUUUGUGCGACACUUGGGCCCACUUUGAUUGCGCCGGGGUGACCGACUCUAUUGCGGACCCAGAGCGAAGCUGGAAAUGUGAAAAUUGCAUGGCCCAGAUCAACGCUCAGCGGCACUCACGUAAGUCCAAUUCAACGAGUUCAUCGAACCGAAGCGGAAACUCCCAACGUCAACGUUUGCAACUUCGACUACUGGAAGAGGAACGAAAGCUUCGGCUGAAGCAUCAAGAAGAGGAAGAUGCUGCAAGGAAGAAGGCUGCCGAAGAAGAAGACCAAGUCCGUAAGAAACGUAUGGAAGAAGAGCAAAGGUAUUUGAAGGAGAAAUUCGAGCUUCUGAUGGCAGGAACGGAAGGGAGCAAUGAUGGUUCGUGUAGUAUACGGAGCGACACUAGUCGAAAAAGCGAUCCUAACAGUAGGACUAGUAGUCAGAAGGUACGAGAUUGGCUCAGUAGGGAAAGGGACACACAUCAGUCGUCCGGAGUGGACCCAACCAAUCAGACCUUCAAUGGUGUCCAAAGGUCGGCUGUUUCGAAGUCUGCGCAUGAGAAUGCACCAUCAAAUGCAGUUGGUAUAGAUGCGCCAUCCGAAGUGAUCAAGCCCGUCAAUUCGAUUCGAGAUUGCAGAAAUCAGAAAGCUGUGAUCAGGCAAGCACCACCAAAUUCAUCCACUCCACAGUUCUCACAAGAGCAUAUUAGUCCGUCGGAGGCUCUUGGACAGCGAACAUCCAUCUCGCGCAUCCCAAUGGAUAUUUCCGAGUAUGGUCCGGUAGUAAACAGGGACGCCGUUCAAAUGACAUCCAUGGCAUAUGGACGCCAGGGAACCAAUUUUGUGUAUCCAUUGUCAGUAACAACUGCGACACAAAGUAACGCUGCUGCUCAACCCACGUAUACUAUGCCAGGAUCGCAAAGGCCACUGUGCACAACGAGCCGUGACCUUGGCCAUGGCCAUAACCCUGUGAGAGCCAAUGUUGAAAACGUUGCGAACUACCAGACUGCUCAACGAAACGCAAAUCCUGCAGAGUCACAGUAUUAUAAUCGAGAUCAAUCAUCCGAUAACAUCCAACAGGUUGGUCCAACUCCAGUACAAAUUGCGGCACGUCAGGUUAUGUCAAGAGACCUACCGAAAUUUUCCGGGGAUCCGGAAGAUUGGCCAAUGUUUUUCAGUGCGUUCCAGAACACUACAACAGCAUGUGGUUAUUCCGACGUAGAAAACUUGGCGAGACUUCAACGUUGUCUGGAGGGUGCUGCCUUGGCGGCGGUCAAAAGCCGUCUGCUGUUGCCUGGUUCAGUUCCACACGUUAUCAGCACGCUGCAGAGAUUAUUCGGUAGACCAGAGAUAAUAAUUCACUCUCUUCUCAACAAGCUAAGAGAUGUUCCGGCACCCAAAGCGGAAAAUCUCAAAUCCGUCAUCGAAUUUGGAUUAGCUGUUCAGGAUUUGGUGGACCAUAUGCAGCUGGCCAGAUUAGACGAACAUCUCUGUAACCCUAUGUUACUGCACGAGCUAGUUGAAAGGUUACCAGCAGUCUAUAAGAUGCAAUGGUCGGCGUACAAACGAGCGAGCCCGAUUGUAAAUCUGGCGACUUUCGGCACCUUUAUGUCGGAUCUGGUGAACACAGCAACGGAUGUAACACUGCCAGAUCUUUCAGCAUCAUCAUCCAAAUCGACAAGAUCAAUGGGUCCCCGCAAUAAAUCGAAAAUAUUCGUACACACCGAAGAAACCCCGGAAGGAGAAGAGGAGACACAACGAACAUCGGAAGAAUCGGGAAAAAGAUGCUCAUAUUGUUCGAGAGCGGAUCAUGAAAUUCAGGGUUGCUCACGGUUCAAGACUUUGCACAACGAUGAUCGAUGGGCAGUAAUGCGUCAAAACGGGCUGUGCAGAAACUGUCUAAUCCCACAUCGAAAAUGGCCGUGUCGCUCCGGGAAAGUAUGUGGCGUCAACGGAUGCCGCCUUAGACACCACGCACUACUACAUGCCUACGAUGUCGAGGUCCUGGGAGCCCAGGCAAGAUCAGUUGAUAACGGCUCCAGAAAUGCUUCGAUAGUACACCAAAAUAUGCACCAUGUGUUGCCGACGAUACUAUUCCGGUAUCUGCCUGUCUUUAUAGAAGAUACGAAUGGAAAGUCGGUGCGAACCUACGCCUUCCUCGACGAUGGUUCAUCGUCAACGUUGAUAGAGGAAGGAAUAGCGGCUGAACUGGGAAUAAAUGGCCCUACGGAUACACUCUGGCUCAGCUGGACAGGAAAUGUGAGCCGAGAAGAAAGAGGUUCAAAACGUGUCUCGAUUAUGAUCUCCGGACGCGGGAUGGAAACUCGCUUCCAGUUAAACAACGUUAGGACCGUUCAAAAGCUGGAUCUACCACAUCAAACAUUACAGUACGACGCGCUCAAGGAUGCAUAUCCUCAUCUGCGCGGUUUACCAGUUGCGAGCUACUCGAAAGCGACUCCAGGAAUCAUCAUAGGUAUGGAGCACGCCCGGCUGUUGGCGACAUUAAAAAUUCGAGAAGGAAAUGCUGAUGACCCAGUUGCAGCAAAGACACGAUUAGGCUGGUGUAUAUACGGUAAACAGUUCGGGUCGGAUAAAUCGGUGGAACAUCUGAACUUGCACUCUUCUCUUGGGAAUCGAGAACUACAUGAGCAAAUGAAGGGAUUCUUUGGAAUCGAGGAAGCAACCAUCACGGUGAAACCGGAGGCUGAUGACGAUAAGCGAGCAAGGCAGAUCAUGGAGACUACAACGCGAAGAGUUGGUAAAGCCUUUGAGACAGGGCUUUUAUGGAGACACGAGGAAGUCUGUUUUCCAGACAGCUACAGGAUGGCGGAAAAGCGAUUGGUGCAACUAGAAAAACGACUCAACAGAGACCCAGCCCUCAAGGAGAAAAUUUGUUGUCAAAUAGAAGAGUACGAAAGGAAAGGAUACGCACAUCGCCUAACCGACGAAGAAAUACGAUCAUCGGAUCCGAAACGCAUUUGGUACCUACCUCUUGGGGUGGUACAGAAUCCUAAAAAGCCGGAAAAGGUCCGUCUAAUUUGGGACGCCGCAGCUCGAUCCAGUGGAGUAUCGUUAAAUGACAUGCUCCUCAAGGGCCCGGACCUAUUGACAUCCCUCAUAUCAGUUCUCUUCAGAUUCCGCCAAAGGGACAUUGCCAUCUGUGGAGACAUUAGAGAAAUGUUUCACCAGAUAAUCAUACGUAAUCUGGACAAACAAGCACAACGAUUUCUCUGGAGAAGUUCGCCUGAUAGUUCACCACAAUGUUACGUCAUGGAUGUAGCAACGUUUGGAGCCACAUGCUCACCUAGCUCAGCACAAUUCAUCAAGAACAAGAACGCUGAGGAGUUCGUCGAACAGUAUCCGGCGGCAACAGAGGCCAUCAUCAAGGGUCAUUACGUUGAUGACUAUUUGGACAGCGUGGACACCGUCAUGGAAGCAGUUCAGCUGUGGAAAGAUGUGAGAUACGUCCACGCUCAAGGAGGAUUCGAUAUGCGUAAUCUUAUCAGCAAUUCUCCCGAAGUGAUGCAGCUUGUUGGUGAGAAAGGCAGUACAGCAACCAAAUCCAUGAACCUGGACAAGCCUGAGGAGAGCGAACGAGUUCUUGGUAUGGUAUGGAAACCCAAAAUCGACAUGUUCACCUACGACACGACACUGAGGCCGGAUAUUGCCAAACUGAUUGCGGAGCAGUCGGUUCCUACGAAACGCCAAGUUCUCUGUACCGUUAUGUCACUUUUUGAUCCACUCGGUUUAAUAUCAAACUUUGUGGUACAAGGAAAAAUCCUAAUGCAAGAUAUUUGGCGAUCAGGAACCGAUUGGGAUGAGGUAAUAGCUGAAAAUUUGCACGAAAAAUGGAUCAAGUGGAGUAAUUGCCUGACGGAAAUGGGAAGUGUCCGGAUUCCCAGAUGUUUCUUCAGUGGAGCAAGCCGUAGCGCCAUGGAUGGUAUGCAGAUUCACGUUUUUGUAGAUGCUAGCCCAGAAGCCUAUGCUAGCGUUGCAUAUUUGAGGAUCAUCGAUAAAGGAGUUCCCCGAUGUGCAUUGGUAGCAGCAAAGUCUAAAGUAGCACCCUUGAAGCCGCUCUCCGUCCCUCGUCUCGAGCUGCAGGCGGCGCUGAUUGGCAGUCGUUUGGCAGACACUAUUUGCAAGUACUUGAAUCUAUCCGUGAAGCAACGAUUCUUUUGGUUGGACUCAUCAACUGUAUUAGCCUGGUUGCGUUCAGAUAGUCGUCGCUAUCAUCCGUUUGUAGCCUUUAGAGUUGGCGAAAUUCUGAGCCUCACCGCUGUCAACGAGUGGCGACAUCUGCAAUCAAAAUACAACGUAGCAGACGAAGCUACAAAAUGGGGAUCAGGCCAAAGUUUUGACCCGGAGAAUCGAUGGUUCAGUGGUCCGCCGUUCUUGAAAAAAGAGGAAGAGUACUGGCCUACACAAUCGGCUUCUAUAGAACCCGUGACCGAGGAGUUACGCAAAGUAUACGUUCAACACCACAUAAUUAACCAACCACUAAUUGACGUGACUCGCUUCUCUAAGUGGCAAAAACUUCUUCGUACUACUGCAUUUGUAUUGAGAGCUGCCAAGAAGUUCAAAAAGCAGCAGGUGCCAGCGUGGUUGUCCAGCGAAGAAUACUGUAAGGCGGAAAAUCUACUAUGGCGGCAGGUUCAAACGGAAAGCUAUCCAGAGGAGUACGCUACGUUGCACCAUAAUAUGGAGAAUCCGGAUCAACCAAGACAGCUGAACAGGUCAAGUUCUCUACUGCAGCACUCCCCAUAUCUCGAUGAUGCAGGAAUUAUGAGAAUGGAUAGUAGGAUAACGGCAGCACCCAACACAUUUUUCAAUGCAAGGCAUCCAAUUAUCUUGCCUAAGAAUCAUCGUCUAACGUAUCUGCUCGUGGACAGUUUCCACUGUAGAUUUCUCCACGGAAACAGCGAAACAAUACUGAACGAGAUACGACAACAGUUUUCAAUUUCAACUCUACGGAGCCUGGUGAAGCGUGUUUCCAAGGAUUGCCAGAUUUGUCGUAUUCGUAAGGCCACCCCACAACCUCCCAAGAUGGCUCCACUUCCUGUGGAAAGAUUGAUGUCGUUCAUCCGACCCUUUACAAAUACAGGCAUCGACUAUUUUGGUCCAGUCACAGUCAAAAUUGGGCGCAGCAACGUCAAACGAUGGGUUGUUUUAUUUACCUGUCUUUCUGUAAGGGCAGUUCACCUGGAAAUCGCACACAGUCUCACCACCCAGUCUUGUGUGAUGGCCAUUCGUAGGUUUGUGGCUCGCCGAGGUGCACCUGAAACUAUUUGGUCAGAUAAUGGCACUAAUUUUGUUGGAGCCAACAAUGUCCUUAAAGAGGAGCUUCGGGAAAUCAACGAGUCGUGCGCAACGACAUUCACCAAUGCCAGAACAAACUGGUUGUUCAACCCUCCUUACGCACCCCACAUGGGUGGCGCGUGGGAGCGAUUAGUACGGUCAGUGAAAACAGCCAUGUUCGCCAUUACCGACCAAGCCCAUUCCCCUAGCGAUGAGGUACUGGAAACCGUGAUACAAGAGGCUGAAGCAGUAGUCAACUCCCGACCUUUAACCUACGUGCCACUAGACUCCUCCAACGAUGAAGCCUUAACACCCAACCAUUUCCUUUUAUAUGGAAUCCGUGGUGUUAAUCAACCUGCGAUACAAUUAAAGGAUGCACGAGUACCGCUUAGAGACAGCUGGAAUAUGGCAAAAAAUAUGGUAGACGAGUUUUGGAAGAGAUGGAUCCGUGAAUAUCUUCCUGAGCUGACUAGACGGACUAAGUGGUAUCAACCAGUAAAGCCACUUGACGUAGGAGAUUUAGUUAUAGUAAUUGAUGAAAAUAAGCGUAACGGUUGGACAAGAGGUAGGAUUCUAGAUGUUGUUGUAGGCAAGGACGGUCAGGUACGCAGGGCUGUAGUGCUGACAUCGAACGGAGUGCAAACACGUGCCGCAGUGAAGUUAGCAUUAUUGGAUGUUGGUCAGGCGUCAGGGUAGAAUUCUAGGUUCCUCGGAGCUACACGGGAGGGGGAUUGUUGUCGAACCCACCGUGCGAACGGUUCUUACUAGUGUGAGUACCGAGGUAACACAAUUUGACGUCUGUCAUAUACGAGGAGGUCCAGCAUGGCCUUAUGUCAUGUGGAGGAAAACCGUGGUAAAGGAUAGUAAGAUUGAACUGUGGAUUACGAUUACAAAGUUUAUUUAAACAGUUAAACUGUUAGUUAAUUAGAGUAGUGUCAGUAUAGCUAGUGCGUUGUGGAACACUGCUCUACCAGAAGGAGACGGCAAAAUACUGGUAGCCGAUUGCUACGAUUGUGGGUAUUAACCAGAACUACUAGCUGCUAUUCAGACUUAAAACUGUGAGUAGGUUUAGCAAUAUUGAAGUUAAUUUAGAAGCAUGAAUUAAUUUGUCUUGUAGCAGUGGACUAGGUUGGAUUACAUCGACUCUGCGUUAAGAAAGAUUAGAAGUGUGAAGGCAGACAUAAACGUAAGACAGAUUCUCCUAAUGUAAAAUAUUUAUCUAAUUCAUUCUUGCAUUAAAUUUCAGCUUUAAAGCUGCGCUGUUUAUAAGCUGCUAAAAAGGCGUUUGCACUGGUCUGGUCGAUUCCCCA